rnacentral:rRNA from 1 species
AGUGAACGCUGGCGGUAGGCCUAACACAUGCAAGUCGAACGGCAGCACAGUAAGAGCUUGCUCUUACGGGUGGCGAGUGGCGGACGGGUGAGGAAUACAUCGGAAUCUACUUUUUCGUGGGGGAUAGCGUAGGGAAACUUACGCUAAUACCGCAUACGACCUACGGGUGAAAGCAGGGGAUCUUCGGACCUUGCGCGAUUGAAUGAGCCGAUGUCGGAUUAGCUAGUUGGCGGGGUAAAGGCCCACCAAGGCGACGAUCCGUAGCUGGUCUGAGAGGAUGAUCAGCCACACUGGAACUGAGACACGGUCCAGACUCCUACGGGAGGCAGCAGUGGGGAAUAUUGGACAAUGGGCGCAAGCCUGAUCCAGCCAUACCGCGUGGGUGAAGAAGGCCUUCGGGUUGUAAAGCCCUUUUGUUGGGAAAGAAAAGCAGCAGGUUAAUACCCCGCUGUUCUGACGGUACCCAAAGAAUAAGCACCGGCUAACUUC